CUGGCCCAUAUAGGUCUUUAUAUAUAUUUAGCUAACCUUCUAAAUUUGACCAACUUUAGCUGUUGUAGAAUAAAAUCCCUUGGCAAUGGAGUUUUGUUAGGACUCUUUAAAACAUAGUAGGUAGUCUUCCUCAUAAGCAUCCAUAUCCUCCCCUAGAUUACAAAUUUUAUGUUUUAUGGAACCACAUUUAUAAUGCUCCUUUGCCAAAGUUGAAUCCUAAGGGCUUCAGAAGUUCCCCAACCCAAUAGAUGUCUAAAGUAGGAAGUCUAUGCAUUAGGCCUACUCAAAAUAGGACAUUAGGACGAUUAUUAAUAAUUAUGUAUUGAGAAGAUCCCACAUUAUGGUAAGAACCUUCCUUGUGGCUUUGCUUAAUCUAAGCCAUCUAGUACUUCUGAAAAUUCGAUAUGCUCUGUUGCACUCUUUGCAUAUAGAUAUGAAAUGGAAUCAACAUGUAUUGUUUCAUGUGAUCUCAGCCCCUGACUUCAUCAAUUCUUCUCUAGAUGCCUAGGUAUACUUACAUGUGAGAGUUCUUGGUUAUGCAAUGGCUUGAACAAAAGCAACAUUGUAGUGUUUAAAUUGUCACGAUCAUGAAAAUAACUAAGUAGUUUGAA
rnacentral:lncRNA from 1 species